rnacentral:rRNA from 1 species
AGAGUUUGAUCAUGGCUCAGGAUAAACGCUGGCGGCGCACAUAAGACAUGCAAGUCGAACGAACUUAACCAUUAGUUUACUAUUGGAGCGGUUAGUGGCGGACUGGUGAGUAACACGUAAGCAACCUGCCUAUCAGAGGGGAACAACAGUUAGAAAUGACUGCUAAUACCGCAUAUGCCUUAGAAUCACAUGGUUCAAAAGGGAAGGAGCAAUCCGCUGAUAGAUGGGCUUGCGUCUGAUUAGCUAGUUGGUGGGGUAACGGCCUACCAAGGCGACGAUCAGUAGCCGAACUGAGAGGUUGAACGGCCACAUUGGGACUGAGNUACGGCCCAGACUCUACGGGAGCA